CAAUAGCGUAUAUUAAAGUUGUUGCAGUUAAAAGCUCGUAGUUGGAUUUCGGAGUGGGCCAGUUGGUCCGCCGCAAGGUGUGUUACUGACUGGUUUGCUCUUCUUCGCAAAGACUGCGUGUGCCCUUAAAUGAGUGUGCGUAGGAUUUACGACGUUUACUUUGAAAAAUUAGGAUGUUCAAAGCAGGCUAUUGCUUGAAUACAUGAGCAUGGAAUAAUGGAAUAGGACUUUGGUCCCAUUUUGUUGGUUUCUAGGGCCGAAGUAAUGAUUAAUAGGGACAGUUGGGGGCAUUCGUAUUUCAUUGUCAGAGGUGAAAUUCUUGGAUUUAUGAAAGACGAACUUCUGCGAAAGCAUUUGCCAAGGAUGUUUUCAUUAAUCAAGAACGAAAGUUGGAGGCUCGAAGAUGAUCAGAUACCG
rnacentral:rRNA from 1 species